AUUGAACGCUGGCGGCAGGCCUAACACAUGCAAGUCGAACGAGUGGCGGACGGGUGAGUAAUGUCUGGGAAACUGCCUGAUGGAGGGGGCUAACUACUGGAACCGGUAGCUAAUACCGCAUACCAUCAGAUUUUCCCAGAUGGGAUUUGCUUGUUGGUGGGGUAACGGCUCACCAAGGCGACGAUCCCUAGCUGGUCUGAGAGGAUGACCAGCAACCCUGGAACGGAGAAACGGUCCAGACCCUUACGGGAGGCAGAAGAGGGGAAUAUUGCACAAUGGGCGCAAGCCGGAUGCAGCAAUGCGGCGUGUAUGAAGAAGGCCUUCGGGUUGUAAAGUACUUUCAGCGGGGAGGCGUUACCCAAAGAAGAAGCACCGGCUAACUCCGUGCCAGCCGCCGCGGUAAUUC
rnacentral:rRNA from 1 species